rnacentral:lncRNA from 1 species
GGAGUCUCGUGUACUAAGCUAUAUUUCAAUAUUGUGGUUUGCCACUUUGUUAUUGGUGUUUCACUGAAUCAAUGUUGAUGUGGGCCUAAUCCCAUACAGCUAAUAGUUGGUCUUUUUAAUACGUAGAGAGUGUAGACUAACAUUUUGUCACCUUUUUUUUAAGUCAAUGACACCAUGUCCUUUCAUUUAGAUGUGUACGUUUUAUUCUUUUUCUUUUAGAGAGAGAGAGGAGGUCGACGUGAAUGUUUGUUGUUAGAUGGCCACGUAGUCACGUCACUCACUCCUCUUGGAGCUCCACCGCCCCGGUUGGUACCUCAGAACCUAAGACACAGUUAUUAUACUUUGCUUAGUCAAUUAAUACAAUAACAAAAACAUCGAUCGGCUUAGAGCACUAGAAAGAAAAAAAGAGGUUAUGAAACCAUGGUUUCCUUUCGUGAAGUUAGUCUCAGCUCGCACAUGAUGUACAUAAAGUUUUAUUUCUUUAGACAUGAUAUGAUAUCAUAAAGUUAAAACAAUAUAUAAAAAAAUAAUAGGUGUGCGGGUUUUGUGGUUAGUGUCUGUGUGGCCUUGUGGCUCAAAUUGGUUGGAUGGGAUCAGAUGGAGAGAUUAAUUUAAAGGAAUCAGCUAAGUCCGUUAUACAUAAUUAAGUCUAAGAUGCUGUUUCUAUAGUAUGUAAUAAGAUAAAAUUUUAUGAUUAAAAUAUUACCUGCAGAUGGAAAUAUGAAUUUCAGUGGAAUAGAUUAUUCGAACUUUUUUUAGAAGAAACAUGAGACAAGACAAAACAGGUGAAUGAGCAUUUUGUUGGAUGUGAUUUUGGCAUGACCUUGGCAACCGGUGCAGACGUAUGUUUAGUUCUACAUCAACUAUAUAUUAGGUAGAUCUUCGAUACUUAUACAGAACCAGAAAACCUAAAUAAUACUAUCCAACCAGCCUUUUAGGUAAAAUCUUGAAUUGCGACGAAUAGUAUUAGAGUAGAGCUGGUCCAUGGACUAUAAGGAUUAUAGGACACUGCAGUACGGGCUCAUUAGGAUUGGCCAAAGGUUAAUCAUAGUGUUUGAUUGGAUUUGGACCCUUAGCCUGGUGAGGACGACAAAGCUUAAAUAAGAGAAGUAUAUGAAGAUUCGUACAAGCAUGUGUUUAGUUCCAUGCU